rnacentral:tRNA from 1 species
GGUCGGUGGCUCAGUGGUAGAGCACCUGCCUCACAUGUGUGAGGCACUGGGUUCGAUCCUCAGCAUCA